AGAGUUUGAUCCUGGCUCAGAACGAACGCUGGCGGCGUGCCUAACACAUGCAAGUCGAACGUGAAAGUCUUCGGAUGAGUAAAGUGGCGCACGGGUGAGUAAUACACAGGAACGUGCCUUAGGGAUGGGGAUAACUACUGGAAACGGUAGCUAAUACCGAAUGUGCUCGAGAGAGGAAAGGGUGCCCUCUGUUUACAAGG
rnacentral:rRNA from 1 species